AGGGCCCGUUUGUUUUGAUGUAAGUGGAGUGAUGGAACUCAAGUUCCAUCACUUCUGUUAUUUGUUUUGGUGUAAGUGAAAAAUAUAAUGUAACUCAAGUUACGUUAAAGCUCCACUUCACCUACUCUCGACUUCCUCCUCUAAAGUGCCGAACUCGACUUCCACCACACUCAACCUCCUCUAAAAAAUUAACUAAACAGUAAAACCUAAACUCUACUUCCUUUAUAAUGGAUUAGAAUUAUCUUAUUUAUAAUAAAUUAGGAUUAUCUUUAAAUAAUAAUAAAAAUUUUAAUUAUAUAAUAGGUUAAAUUUUAUAGUGGUAAAUUUACUACUAUAUUUAGGAGAUAAUAGGAUCCACUUACUUACAUCAAAACAAGCAACGGAACUCAAAAAACUAAUUUUACCAGCACCAAGUUACAUCAAAACAAACAGAAAAAGUAAUUGAAUUUAACUUUCAGACUGUAUAAGUUACAUCAAAACAAACAACAAAAAAAUAAUCACACUUCAGGGAAACUCAAACACCACUACACUUGACUUUU
rnacentral:lncRNA from 1 species